rnacentral:rRNA from 1 species
GACGAACGCUGGCGGCGUGCUUAACACAUGCAAGUCGAGCGGAGCGGCGAACGGGUGAGUAACGCGUGAGUAACUGGCCCCCUCUCUGGGAUAACAGUUGGAAACGGCUGCUAAUACCGGAUAGUGGGGGAUGACUCGCGUGCUAUCAGCUUGUUGGUGGGGUAGUGGCUUACCAAGGCGACGACGGGUAGCCGGCCUGGGAGGUGGACCGGCAACAAUGGGCUGAGAUAGGGACCAAAGUGGAACGGGGGGCAGCGGGCGGGAAUCUUGCACAAUGGGGGCGACCCGGAUGCAGAAACGCGCGUGCGGGAUGACGGUCUUCGGGGUGGAAACCGCUUUCAGCCAUGACGCGGUAGUGGCAGAAGAAGCACCGGCUAACUACGUGCCAGCAGCCGCGGUAAUAC